AACGGAAAUUACAGUCCAUGAAGAAUCUUUUCAAGAGCCGGACUUUGAACUUAAAUUUGGCGUAGAGUCGUUCGAGAUCCCAAGAUUAAGAAAAAGUCAGAGCUUUACCCACGCAAUAGUAUAUACUGUGAAAGCCAAAGAAGGAAGAUUAGGGCCCCCUGCCACCUCUUUCACAUACUUUAAUGGAGAGGAGACGGUGACCGCCUUAACAAGUAAACCACAAGAGCGAAUAAUUGUUUCGGAAAACUAUUUUAUGCAUAAGUUAAAUAAUCACUUGGCCGAAUGGUUUAUCUAUGGAAUUCUUGCACUUGUUUUUCUUUUUAUCAUCCCUUUAUAC